rnacentral:rRNA from 1 species
GUUAGGAAUAUUGGACAAUGGGCGCAAGCCUGAUCCAGCCAUGCCGCGUGAGUGAUGAAGGCCUUCGGGUUGUAAAGCUCUUUAGCCGAUGAUUAUAAUGACUGUAGUCGGAAAAUAAGCCCCGGCUAACUUCGUGCCAGCAGCCGCGGUAAUACGAAGGGGGCGAGCGUUAUUCGGAAUCACUGGGCGUAAAGCGUGCGUAGGCGGCUUUGCAAGUUGGGAGUGAAAGCCCAGGGCUCAAACCUGGAAUUGCUCUCAAAACUGCAAGGCUCGAAUUCGGGAGAGGAUAGCGGAAUUGUCAGUGUAGCAGUGAAAUGCGUAGAUAUUGACAGGAACACCAGUGGCGUAAGCGGCUAUCUGGACCGAUAUUGACGCUGAGGCACGAAAGCGUGGGGAUCAAACAGGAUUAGAAACCCCGGUAGUCC